rnacentral:lncRNA from 1 species
UCUUUAUUUUAAAUCUAUCUUAUAAAAAUUGUUCUCUAAAUAUUUUCUUCGACAUAACUCAAUAGAGAGCUUCUCAAUAAGAAUUCAUCAUAUAGUUUGAAAUUAUUCUCUAAUAUAUCUCGUAUUGUUUGGUGUGAUGCAUUUUUUGUCUAUUAGAUUUUGUCUUUGACUUGUAUGAUUACUUUUCAUCGCGGAUGUUUUUCAUUUUCAUUCAAUGUUAUUCUUCAGUCAUUUUAAACCCAAUAUUUUUUUAUGUGUUCCUUGUUAAUUUUUUGAUUUGGAUAUUUUUAAAGAAAAUACAUUUGAUAUUUAUUUUGAAAAUAUACUUUUGAAAUUUUAUUUCAAAAAUACACUUUUGAAAAUACACUUUUGAAAUUUCUUGCAAGUUAAAAAUCGU